rnacentral:rRNA from 1 species
CGAGAACGCUCCUUCGGGAGCAAGUAAAGUGGCGGACGGGUGCGUAACGCGUAGACAACCUGCCCUUGAGCGGGGGAUAACCACGGGAAACUGUGGCUAAUACCGCAUAACGUCCGGAUCCCGCAUGGGAACCGGAUCAAAGUCUUCGGACGCUCAGGGAUGGGUCUGCGUCGGAUUAGCUCGUUGGUGAGGUAACAGCUCACCAAGGCAACAAUCCGUAGCUGGUCUGAGAGGAUGAUCAGCCACACUGGCACUGAGACACGGGCCAGACUCCUACGGGAGGCAGCAGUGGGGAAUCUUAGGCAAUGGGGGAAACCCUGACCUAGCCAUGCCGCGUGGAGGAAGACACCCCUACGGGGCGUAAACUCCUUUUCUGCCGGAAGAAAACCCUGUUUUGCAGGGCGUGACGGUACGGCAGGAAUAAGCACCGGCUAACUCCGUGCCAGCAGCCGCGGUAAUACGGAGGGUGCAAGCGUUGUCCGGAAUCACUGGGCGUAAAGGGUGUGUAGGUGGGGCGGCAAGUCAGGGGUGAAAGCCCACAGCUUAACUGUGGAAGUGCCCUUGAAACUGCCGUUCUUGAGUCCUGGAGAGGUUGCCGGAAUUCGUGGUGUAGCGGUGAAAUGCGUAGAUAUCACGAGGAACACCAGAGGCGUAAGCGGGCAACUGGACAGGUACUGACACUGAGGCACGAGAGCGUGGGGAGCAAACAGGAUUAGAUACCCUGGUAGUCCACGCCGUAAACGAUGAAUGCUCGCCGUUGUCCCAUUUAGGGGGCAGUGGCUAAGCUAACGCGUUAAGCAUUCCGCCUGGGGAGUACGACCGCAGGUUGAACUCAAGGAAUUGACGGGGCCCGCACAGCGGUGGAGAUGUGGCUUAUUCGAUGCACGCGAAGACCUUACUAGGCUCGACACUACGGACUGGUCCGAAAGACUUCCCCAGGCUGUAUGAGGGCUGCUGGCUUCGCACUCGG